UUUUUAAACGAGAGUUUGAUCCUGGCUCAGGAUGAACGCUGGCGGCGUGCUUAACACAUGCAAGUCGAGCGAAGCACUUAAGAAUGAUUCUUCGGAUGAAUUCUUUUGUGACUGAGCGGCGGACGGGUGAGUAACGCGUGGGUAACCUGCCUCAU
rnacentral:rRNA from 1 species